rnacentral:rRNA from 1 species
GCAAGUCGAACGAGCGAGAGAGAGCUUGCUUUCUCGAGCGAGUGGCGAACGGGUGAGUAACGCGUGAGGAACCUGCCUCAAAGAGGGGGACAACAGUUGGAAACGACUGCUAAUACCGCAUAAGCCCACGACCCGGCAUCGGGUAGAGGGAAAAGGAGCAAUCCGCUUUGAGAUGGCCUCGCGUCCGAUUAGCUAGUUGGUGAGGUAACGGCCCACCAAGGCGACGAUCGGUAGCCGGACUGAGAGGUUGAACGGCCACAUUGGGACUGAGACACGGCCCAGACUCCUACGGGAGGCAGCAGUGGGGAAUAUUGCACAAUGGGGGAAACCCUGAUGCAGCGACGCCGCGUGGAGGAAGAAGGUCUUCGGAUUGUAAACUCCUGUUGUUGAGGAAGAUAAUGACGGUACUCAACAAGGAAGUGACGGCUAACUACGUGCCAGCAGCCGCGGUAAAACGUAGGUCACAAGCGUUGUCCGGAAUUACUGGGUGUAAAGGGAGCGCAGGCGGGAAGACAAGUUGGAAGUGAAAUCCAUGGGCUCAACCCAUGAACUGCUUUCAAAACUGUUUUUCUUGAGUAGUGCAGAGGUAGGCGGAAUUCCCGGUGUAGCGGUGGAAUGCGUAGAUAUCGGGAGGAACACCAGUGGCGAAGGCGGCCUACUGGGCACCAACUGACG